GCAGUAACAGUAGGCAAUCUUAGAUAGGAUAGUGAAUGUAAUAAUAGUGUAGUGUUAUUGGUCUGGUUUGACUUCAUAUCCUAUUCAAUGUCAAACAUUUUCUCAUGAUAACUGUUGACCACAAGUUGUUGCUUGAUAAUGUUUGAUGAAACCUACUUGUUGUGGCAUAAAAAAGAUAUUGUUCGCUAAAGGAGGUGGUAUGACUUGACUUGCGGUAAAAAGUAGGAUGGAGUUUUUACUGAAGUGAUUGUCUAAAUUGUAUCGGUAUCUAUUUAUUUUAUGGACUGAAUAAAUUGUUCAACAGGCUAUUUAACAAAUAUGUUUCUUUUUAGUACGAGAAGUUGACGACCUUUCUGAACAACUGAAUCAAGAACGAGGGAUAACGGAUCGAGUAUGUAAUAAGAAUCGUGGAGUAUAUAAUGCGAACUUCAGUGUUUUCAUUUCUGUCUGGAUAUUUGGUGUUUUCUUGUCGUCCAGGUUUUUAGUGGACAAUAAUCUGAAAUUGUUUAUGUUUUGAAUUAUAGUUAAAACAAGAUAUUACUAAAGCAAACGCAGAACUAGAACGGGAAAGGCAUGAGUCAAGGAGACUGGUA